ensembl:lncRNA
CAAACAUUAUUCAGCUUUAAAUAUUGUUCAGCUUUAAAGUUACUGUGCAACUGUGUAAUAAAAAUGUGUGCUCACGACUUUGGCCUUGAGAGCGAUAAGAAGCGAUCGCCUCAUUCUGCAGGUGUAAGAUAUCUGCAAGCGAAGAGACUAGAACACCCAAGGCCGCUUUCCUUUUAUGGAGUUGUUUUUCUGCUAAUGCAGCACUGUCCUCACAACCCCCUCCUGUAAGUUUUAGAGAAUAUAUACCCAUUCGCACAGCAAAUCUGGGGAAUCUCCUGAUGUGAGCUGUUUGAGAGGUUGUCUCUGUCUCAAUAAAAGUUCACUGAUUCCCCCAUCUGCAGCAGGUGUCCGGUUGUCUUCAUUCUCCGCCAGCCUGGUUAAGUCAAUUCCUCCUUAACAUCUAAAAGAACCUAUUUAAUGAAGGAAGACGGGUUCACUUUGUGUUUAAUAUUAUUCUAUUGCUGUUGUUGUUUUUUUUAUAUCCUUCAAUUGGCGUCACGGAACAGGAUCCGCUCCAGGGCAACUGGAACGGAGGGAGGAAAUCGGCCGUGGUCUGAGUGAACGGAGUUUGGACAAAAGCUGUGUGCACACAAAAACAAGGUUGUUGCUCUUUAACUCCUAGAACACGCCCUUGGCGAGGUGGGGGGAACUGGACCACCUUUCUGUGCCCCAUCAUCCUCUAUUAGACGACAUCCAAGCUAAGUAAACAUGUCUUGGCCCUUUCCCCCUGAAAUGACAGGCAGGCAAAGAUGUUGCGUCUUUGUUUGCUUCCUGGCCCUGGGUCUCAUUCCCAUUGGCAUAAUCCUGAUCUGUGAAGGGCCCCCGACACUUCUGACACCUUCAAGUUCAAAAGCUUCGCCCCCUUCUGACAGUCCCAAUCUGACAAAUGUAGCCCCUAGGGUCUUGCCCACCACUUCCUCUCCAGUUUUGCCCACGCCCGAUCCAUUUAGAAAGAAACGAGACACGGUUACCUCCUCGCCAACGGAUGAUGAAAACUCUGAUCGUGAGGGUGACGAACAUUAUCGUCUUUCUCUUGUUUAAAUGCUUCUAGAAUGGUUGUUUCUCUGUGGUGUUUUGUAUUAGGCUUGUUAUUAAUUGUUUCCCUCACCCACUUCCUCUUGAAGGAUAUAUCUGGUUGAACUGUGUCUGGUCGGGUUGUGAGGGUUAAGCGAUGUUCUCAGGGUCUCCGGACUUAAGCCUGAGCGAAUGUGUACUCCCACCAGUGGAUAUAAAUUGUUUUAUUCCACACCCCUUCCUCACUUUUUAACAUAUUCACUUUUGAAUGUCCUUAGCAGUUACCGUUCUGAGUUUAUUUUACGGUUGAUUUAUUCUUUCACAUUUUCACGUUUAUAUCUCUCAUUAUUAUAGUAUACUCUGUACUCUCCACAUUUUUAUCAUUACUUAUGCUUUUUGGUUGCUGAGUUACAGGAACUGUUAAUUUUGUGUCUCUACCCUGGUUGCACUAACUCGUUGUAUCCGUGUGUGCAGGACAGCUGUUACUGCUUUCAUCGGGAACCGAGACUGCUUGCAGCCGACCCCUGGGCAGGGUGGUGCCUGGACUCUUUUCUCCUCAUCUGCAAUGACAGAUAAAGACAAAUGAUAAGACCCGAGGAGUUUUUCGAGCCAGGCUUCGACACGUCUCUGUGUUCCUUUGAAUGUUACUUAUUUUUGUGUGUUGACCCAUUUAAGAUGGGUCAAAAGGGGGAUUUGAAGAAAAUAUAAUUUGAUCAAACAUUAUUCAGCUUUAAAUAUUGUUCAGCUUUAAAGUUACUGUGCAACUGUGUAAUAAAAAUGUGUGCUCACGACUUUGGCCUUGAGAGCGAUAAGAAGCGAUCGCCUCAUUCUGCAGGUGUAAGAUAUCUGCAAGCGAAGAGACUAGAACACCCAAGGCCGCUUUCCUUUUAUGGAGUUGUUUUUCUGCUAAUGCAGCACUGUCCUCACAACCCCCUCCUG